rnacentral:rRNA from 1 species
GGAGUUAGCCGGUGCUUCUUCUGCGAGUAACGUCACAGAUGUAAGGUAUUAACUUACACCCUUUCCUCCUCGCUGAAAGUGCUUUACAACCCGAAGGCCUUCUUCACACACGCGGCAUGGCUGCAUCAGGGUUUCCCCCAUUGUGCAAUAUUCCCCACUGCUGCCUCCCGUAGGAGUCUGGGCCGUGUCUCAGUCCCAGUGUGGCUGAUCAUCCUCUCAGACCAGCUAGGGAUCGUCGCCUAGGUGAGCCUUUACCUCACCUACUAGCUAAUCCCAUCUGGGCUUAUCCAUCAGCGCAAGGCCCGAAGGUCCCCUGCUUUCCCCCGUAGGGCGUAUGCGGUAUUAGCAGUCGUUUCCAACUGUUAUCCCCCACAAAUGGGCAAAUUCCCAGGCAUUACUCACCCGUCCGCCGCUCGUCAUCUUCAAAAGCAAGCUUUUGAAAUGUUACCGCUCGACUUGCAUGUGUUAGGCCUGCCGCCAUCGUUCAAUCUGAGCCAGGAUCAAAACUCUGA